rnacentral:rRNA from 1 species
CCUACGGGGGGCAGCAGUGGGGAAUAUUGCACAAUGGGCGCAAGCCUGAUGCAGCCAUGCCGCGUGUGUGAAGAAGGCCUUCGGGUUGUAAAGCACUUCCAGCGGGGAGGAAGGCGGUGAGGUUAAUAACCUCAUCGAUUGACGUUACCCGCAGAAGAAGCACCGGCUAACUCCGUGCCAGCAGCCGCGGUAAUACGGAGGGUGCAAGCGUUAAUCGGAAUUACUGGGCGUAAAGCGCACGCAGGCGGUCUGUCAAGUCGGAUGUGAAAUCCCCGGGCUCAACCUGGGAACUGCAUUCGAAACUGGCAGGCUAGAGUCUUGUAGAGGGGGGUAGAAUUCCAGGUGUAGCGGUGAAAUGCGUAGAGAUCUGGAGGAAUACCGGUGGCGAAGGCGGCCCCCUGGACAAAGACUGACGCUCAGGUGCGAAAGCGUGGGGAGCAAACAGGAUUAGAUACCCUUGUAGUC